AAUGACAGCUCCCACUCCAUAGGGAGAAGCAUCGCAUGCAAGUAUGACUGGAAGUGCUGGAUCGUAGUGUAUCAGAACCCUUUCACUUGCGAGCUGUUCUUUCGCUGUUUGGAAAGACUCUUUGCAUUCUUUCGACCACUCCCACUUCGCUUCUUUCCGCAGCAAAACGUUCAGUGGAUGGAGCACAGCCGACAGGUUUGGGACAAAACGUGCAUAAUAGUUAACAAGUCCCAAGAAAGAGCGCAACUGGGUUGUGUUGGUUGGCUCAGGAGCAUCCAAUAUGGCGCGGAUUUUGUCAGCCGGUGGAGUACCGCAUCCAAGUUUUCCAGAUGAUGAGCAUCAUCUUUCCCAGUCACCAGGAUAUCAUCCAGGAAACAGUGGACGUUGGGAAGGCCCUGCAACACCUGAUCCAUGAUCUUCUGGAAAACAGAGGGUGCAGAAGUUAUCCCAAAGGGAACUUGGAGGUACGCUUGUGACAGGUCCAGUUUGCUGAACCGCUGGCCUCCAGACAGAGAUGCAAACAUAUCUUCAAUUCGUGG